GAUGAACGCUGGCGGUAUGCUUAACACAUGCAAGUCGAACGGCAGCACAGGGAGCUUGCUCCUGGGUGGCGAGUGGCGGACGGGUGAGUAACGCGUGAGGAUCUGCCCUUAGGUGGGGGACAACAGUUGGAAACGACUGCUAAUACCCCAUAUGCCGAGAGGUGAAAGAUUAAUUGCCCGAGGAUGAACUCGCGUCUGAUUAGCUAAUUGGUGGGGUAAAGGCCCACCAAGCCAACGAUCUGUAGCUGGUCUGAGAGGACGACCAGCCACACUGGUACUGAGACACGGCCCAGACUCCUACGGGAGGCAGCCGUGGGGAAGUUUGGACAAUGGGCGCAAGCCUGAUCCAGCAAUGCCGCGUGCAGGAAGAAGGCCUUCGGGUUGUAAAGCACUUUAAGCGAGGAGGAGGCUACUGAGACUAAUACUCUUGGAUAGUGGACGUUACUCGCAGAAUAAGCACCGGCUAACUCUGUGCCAGCCGCCGCCGUAACAC
rnacentral:rRNA from 1 species